rnacentral:rRNA from 1 species
GUCUACGGCCAUGCCACCCUGAACAAGCCCAAUCCCAUCUGAUCUGAGAAGCUAAGCAGGGUUGAGCCUGGUUAGUACUUGGAUGGGAGACCACCUAGGAAGACCAGGUGCUACAGGCG